rnacentral:rRNA from 1 species
GACGAACGCUGGCGGCGUGCUUAACACAUGCAAGUCGAACGAGGACCAGGAGGUGCUUGCACCACCUGUAGCCGAGUGGCGGACGGGUGAGUAACACGUGACCAACCUGCCUCCAGGCGGGGGACAACCCGGGGAAACCUGGGCUAAUACCGCGUAACAUCUUUGCACCGCAUGGUGCGCUGAUCAAAGAAGGCCUCUGCUUGCAAGCUUUCACCUGGAGAGGGGGUCGCGACGUAUCAGCUUGUUGGUGAGGUAAUGGCUCACCAAGGCUACGACGCGUAGCGGGUCUGAGAGGACGACCCGCCACAUUGGGACUGAGAUACGGCCCAG